GAGCGGGGGACAGCUUGUGACUACGAGAUAAUGAUCUUGUUACCAUGCGAACACUGCCUGACUAAGAUUCCCGCCUUAGCUAGCUUAAUGUCUGUUAAAGUGAUUAGCCAAUCAGCAUGAAACUUGUGUGCCUUAGACUAUAUAAAUGUAUGUUUGCCAUACAAUAAAGCGGACACCUUGCUUGCAUCAAGCUGCGUCCCCGUCUCUCAAUCGCGGCAAAUUGGUGACCUCCGACGUGAUCGUCAGCGACGAAACCGCCGAGGAUUGAAAAACCGCCUACCUGGUGGCAUGUCGCGAGUCCCGCAGAACGUGGAAUGAGCUGCUGAAAGGAAGCAGGAUAAGCCGGCCGGCCAAACAAUCCCUCCGUCUGGAACGAGAGAAAGAGGUCCCCGCUGGAUCCCAGCUAAAAACGUGAGACCUUUUCGAGAGACACUGCAGCAGCCUCCUGAAGACAUUCCUGGUCCUGAUCCUGCGACUGAUAUAGAAGACACUACCGAUCAAUAAUUGAAUGAACUCUGUUCCAGAGGUUAACAAAUGGGAGCUUAAAUGUCUCCAAUGUGAAAAAUGUAAUCCGUGGAUUUGUAGAAUUUGUGCUAAUUGUGGGAAAUCACAGUGGCUAAAUCGCCACACAGUAGGACGCUGGUGUGAUAACUGCCUAACAAUUGAGUGGAAUACAGUUCAGGUGUUAUUGAUAACAGGUAGAGAGACAGAAUAUUCUCCCCGGUAUGGUUAUUAUUCUGACGAUUGGGGGAAAAUUGUAGCACAAAGGUCUGGGGACAUUUUAUAUUCUAAGAUUGAAUGCGCCAAAGACAUUCAAAUACCGCAGAUUUGGGUAGUCACCCCCGGAAAGUGGGAACAGACAAAAAGAGAGUGUAUACGGAGGAAGAGCAAACAAUUACGAAAAUGGGCAAAAGAGUAGUUGUUUUACUUGUGAUUAUAGCUGCUGGUAUGGGCUUUGAUUUGCACCACGUUGAUCCUCGUACUAAUGUGUGGCUUACCUGGGCUAAUCAUACCGGGACUACAGAUUUUUGUUUGUCUUUAGCGCAAGUAGGUGACCCGUUUAGGACAUGUUUAAUUGGAUACCCGUAUGUAGAUUUGAUGGAUUUUGUAGGGUACGUAAAUGAGUCAGAAUUGGAAAGCAAUCUCAACCGCUCAUACUGGAGCUGGCGUAAUGACAACCUAAGGGGCUUGUGAGUUUCUGUUCUUUUAAUGAUUUGUGCAUUAUUAAUAGUAAUCCCAUGUGUGUUACAAUGCUUGCAAAAAUCAAUAACUGCUUCAAUGAACAAGAUUUUCCUCGUGCAGCAAGGAGCGGACCAAGAUCAGAAAGAAAUUACGAAAACCCCCAGUACGGAGCUGUUAGUGAAAUAAGAUGUCCUCGAGUUGGUCGUUUGCCAACCUUGGGAGGGUCAGUUAAUUAAAACAAAAAGGGGGAGAUGUGGGUUGUCUGAAUUUAGAGUUGAUGAGUUAGUUUUCUGUAUUUGGAGUUAAUAGGCUAGUUUGCUGUAUGAAUAAAGUUAAGUGUUGCGGUAGUUGUGAGGCGAAAGUCGGGGAGCUUGUGGUUGGUGGGGGUGCCUGCGCCCUGGAGCCCUGGGGACAGCUUGUGACUACGAGAUAACGAUCUUGUUACCAUGCGAACACUGCCUGACUAAGAUUCCCGCCUUAGCUAGCUUAAUGUCUGUUAAAGUGAUUAGCCAAUCAGCAUGAAACAUGUGUGCCUUAGACUAUAUAAAUGUAUGUUUGCCAUACAAUAAAGCGGACACCUUGCUUGCA